GCCAAGAGUCUCUGUUAGAAAACCUGAGGUUGGCCAGUUGUUUCUCUCAUUAGAAUCCCUGAGGUAGACCAGGUGUCUCUACCCAUAGAAUGGCUGUGAUCGCCUAGGAGACACUCCCUUUAGAAUGCCUGAGGUCGGCCAGGUGUCUCAUGUUAGAAUGCCUGAGGUCGGCCAGGAGUCUCUCCCAUUAGAAUGACGAUGGUCGGACAGGUGCCUACCAUUAAGAUAAAUGAGGUCAGCCUGGUGUCUCUCCCAUCAAAAUGAAUGAGGUCCACCAGGAGACUCUCCCUUUGAAUGCCUGAGGUUGGCCAGGUGUCUUUCUCAUUAGAAUGCCUGUGUUUGGCCAGUGUUUCUCCCCUUAGAAUAUCUGUGGUCAGACAGGUGUCUGUCCCAUCAGAAUGAAUCAGAUUGGCCAGGAGACUCUCCUCUCAGAAUGCCUGAGGUCGACAAAGACUCUCUAUGGUUAGAAUGCCUGUGGUCGACCAGGAGACUCCCCUUAGAAUGCCUGAGAUAGGGCAGGUGUCUUUCCACUCAGAAUACCUGAUGUCGGCCAGGGACCCCUCCCCUUACAAUGCCUGAGGUCAGCCAGGUGUCUCUUUCACUAGAAUGUUUGAGAUCGGCCAGGUGUAUCUGCCAUUACAAAGAAUGAAGUUGGCUUGAUGUCUCCCCAUUAGAAAGCCUGAAUUCAACCAGGAGUUUCUCCCAUUAGAAUGCCUGAGAUCGGCCAGGACUCUCCUGUGAGAAUGGUUGUGGGUCCAGAGCAAGCUUCCCUCCCCACUGCAGCUCCUGUGAAAGGGCCUGCUGGUCGACCUCAGACAAGACUAAUCAGCAGGCAGACCAACAAGCUAAAAUUUCUACUAUUACUGCCGACUCAGACCUGGAAGAAGUAGAUUGGGCUGCAAUCACACAAUGGGUGCAUCACCAGUGCGGACACCUAGGCGUACAGGGAACCAUGGCUUGGGGAGUGUAAAGAAGGAUGUUACCCCAGGAUGCAGUUCAGACAAUUUUAUCCCAAUGCACUACAUGCCAACAGUUAAAAACCAAGCCAAUUCCUCAAAGGGCUAUGGGGCACAUUCACCGGGGAAAAAUGCCAGGACAAAUUUGUCAAAUGGACUAUAUUUGUCCCUUGCCACUUUCUAAAGGGUGCCAAUAUAUAUGUACUGCUGUAGACACCUACUUAGGGCUCCUAGUAGCCUGUGCUUAUGCUAAUGCUAACCAAAUUAACACUAUUAAAACAUGAAAUAUCCUAAUUCUAUAUGAUGGUGUGCCCAUACAAAUUCAAACAGACAAUGGCUCCCAUUUCAAAGGUGAAGCUGUACAAACCUUUGCAGCCCAAGAUGGCAUUGAAUGGAUUUUCCCAUAUUCCUUACCACCUGCAAGCAGCUGGUUUAACUGAAAGAAUGAAUGAGUUAUUGAACAAACAGU
rnacentral:lncRNA from 1 species